AUGUCUCGUUACCGAGGACCUCGUUUCAAAAAAAUACGCCGGCUGGGGGCUUUACCGGGACUAACUAGUAAAAGACCCAGAUCCAGAAGUGAUCUUCAAACCCAAUUGCGCUCUGGAAAAAGAUCACAAUAUCGUAUUCGUUUAGAAGAGAAACAGAAAUUGCGUUUUCAUUAUGGUCUGACAGAGCGACAAUUACUGAAAUAUGUGCAUAUUGCUGGAAAAGCCAAAGGGUCAACAGGCCAGGUUUUACUACAACUACUCGAGAUGCGUUUGGAUAACAUCCUUUUUCGAUUAGGUAUGGCUUCGACCAUUCCUGGAGCCAGACAAUUAGUUAACCAUAGACACAUUUUAGUUAAUGGUCGUAUAGUGGAUAUACCAAGUUAUCGUUGCAAACCCCGAGAUAUUAUUACUACGAAGGAUAAAGAAAGAUCGAAAGCUCUGAUUCAAAAUUAUCUUGUUUCAUCCCCCCACGGGGAAUUGCCAAACCAUUUGACUAUUGACCCCUUACAAUAUAAAGGAUUUGUAAAUCAAAUAAUAGAUAGUAAAUGGAUCGGUCUGAAAAUAAAUGAGUUGUUGGUCGUAGAAUAUUAUUCCCGUCAGACUUGA
rnacentral:tRNA from 1 species